GAUGAACGCUGGCGGCGUGCCUAGUACAUGCAAGUCGAGCGAACGGACGAGAAGCUUGCUUCUCUGAUGUUAGCGGCGGACGGGUGAGUAACACGUGGAUAACCUACCUAUAAGACUGGGAUAACUUCGGGAAACCGGAGCUAAUACCGGAUGAUAUUUUGAACCGCAUGGUUCAAAAGUGAAAGACGGUCUUGCUGUCACUUAUAGAUGGAUCCGCGCUGCAUUAGCUAGUUGGUAAGGUAACGGCUUACCAAGGCAACGAUGCAUAGCCGACCUGAGAGGGUGAUCGGCCACACUGGAACCGAGACACGGUCCAGACUCCUACGGGAGGCAGCAGUAGGGAAUCUUCCGCAAUGGGCGAAAGCCUGACGGAGCAACGCCGCGUGAGUGAUGAAGGUCUUCGGAUCGUAAAACUCUGUUAUUAGGGAAGAACAUAUGUGUAAGUAACUGUGCACAUCUUGACGGUACCUAAUCAGAAAGCCACGGCUAACUACGUG
rnacentral:rRNA from 1 species